AACGAACGCUGGCGGCAGGCCUAACACAUGCAAGUCGAGCGAGGACUUCGGUCCUAGCGGCGGACGGGUGAGUAACGCGUGGGAACGUGCCCUUUGCUUCGGAAUAGCCCUGGGAAACUGGGAGUAAUACCGGCUGAGCCCUUUGGGGGAAAGAUUUAUCGGCGAAGGAUCGGCCCGCGUUGGAUUAGGUAGUUGGUGGGGUAAUGGCCUACCAAGCCGACGAUCCAUAGCUGGUUUGAGAGGAUGAUCAGCCACACUGGGAAUGAGACACGGCCCAGACUCCUACGGGAGGGAGCAGUGGGGAAUCUUAGACAAUGGGGGAAACCCUGAUCUAGCCAUGCCGCGUGAGCGAUGAAGGCCUUAGGGUUGUAAAGCUCUUUCAGCUGGGAAGAUAAUGACGGUACCAGCAGAAGAAGCCCCGGCUAACUCCGUG
rnacentral:rRNA from 1 species